AGAGAAGGGGAGGGGUGCAGAAAGAAGGCCCGGCAUUUCAGAAGUGCGCGGAAUGGGAGGACUUGGGAUCACACCCCGGAACGGCCGGAAAAAUGAAUGUUUGUUUUCUCUUGCCGAUUAUUUGCUUAACAAUAACAUAGAGACAGGAGCCCUGGUUGUAGGUCUGCUGGCUUCUCUGCUCUCUUUAGCUUUCCAAAGAGGAGCAAUCAGAUGUGAAGAUUCUUCAUCUCUCACUGAUUCUUGUGGCGAGCUUACUCCUACCUCAGCGAGUAGAAGCGUUGAGAGGGAGCAAGCACCCCCCCUAACCCUCAGGAUCAUUCUCUCUGCCCACCCAGAGUUCAUCUCGUUGAAGCCCUGCUGGAGAUCAUAGAGCAUUGCCCACGAGAGGCUCUUGGGUGGCAUGAGCAUGUUAACGCCAACACACUCACAGUCCUGAAAGCAUGGCAGGGAGGUAGGUAAGCUGCAGCUCUUAGCUCAUCUUCAAGACAGCCCUAGUGCAUUCUUCCAAGAAUAUCCCAUUCUCUUUCUCGGUUCAGUUCUGGGCUUCUUUAGAUCAGAUGUAGCAGAUUUCCUGGAAAGGGUUACAGCAGACAUUCCAUGCUAUGGAAGAGAUGCUCGCCACAGCUAUGUGAACUGGGGCCUCCACAGAUCACAAGCAAAGAGGGACAGUGGCUUUGCCCCAACGCAACUACAUGUGUGGACAUUGCUUUCCUUGGCGCCAUAUGAUUCGUAUGAAAUAUUGUGAAAUAAAAUGCUUUAAAAUAUUCAUUUUCAUUCUUUCCCCUUUCUUAGUUUUGACAGUUUCAUACAAGAGUAAAACGUAUGGUGGUCAGAUUUACCUCCCCACUUCUUUCUUCCUUCUUAACAGUCUCCCUCUCUCCCCAUGUCCCUGUACGUGUGCAGGCCUUGGGUGUAUAUGUGGCUAUAUGUCUAUAGAUGUAAGUAUGUAGGAGACAGAGUGGCUAUAUGUCUAUAGAUGUAAGUAUGUAGGGGACAGAGUGGCUAUACAUCUAUAGGUGUAAGUAUGUAGGAGAUAGGGUGGCUAUAUGUCUAUAGGUGUAAGUACGUAGGGGACAGGGUGGCUAUACAUCUAUAGGUGUAAGUAUGUAGGAGAUAGGGUGGCUAUAUGUCUAUAGGUGUAAGUACAUAGGAGACAGGGAGGCUAUACGUCUGUAGGUGUAAAACAAAACACCUACAUGUUUCUACAUUUUCCCCUAAGGCCUUUGACUUGCCCAGUCAAAGGCUUGUGUUCAGCUUAUUGGUUUGUUUGUUUGAGACAGAGUUCUACUAUGUAUUGCAUGGGGGCCUUGACCUCUCUCUGGCCCAGAAUGACCUCAAAAUUCCUGCAAUCCUCCUGCCUCAGCUCCACAGAGUAUUGAUAUUGCAGGUGUGUACCAUGAUGGCUAGAGAUGAGCUGUUUGCAACUAUUUAAAAAUGUAAAGUUAUUCUUAGCUCAUGAACCAAACAAACAAGAAACAAACAAUACACAAAAAAAUAAGCAAACAAUAGAUUUUUAAAAAUCAGGGGGCAGGUCAGAUGGUGUGUGAGAAACAGCAGGCUGGCUCCUACCUCAGACUUCUUCAGUGUUACCAGUUAGUCUCAUGAAUGUGCCAAUUCCACUGUGGUGGCACACGCACGCAUGUGAGCGCACGAGCACACACGCACACACACACACACACACACACACACAGAGAUACUCGACUAAAUAAAUGUAAAUAUAACCCGGCUCCUGGGCAGUGUGCUGUUUGCCUAUCUCUAUGUAUACAGAUAAAUAUACAAAUAGAUACUUUUACAAGUGUAUGUAAACACAUACACAUCUAAACAUAGAAAGUCAAUGUCUGUUCCUUCAAACACUUUGUUCAGUAUUCUAAAUGUUUCCAAUUGCUGCUUUGGCCUCUUUAGAAGACUUGUUUCUCACCGUCCAUUCCUGCCGCCUUGUCUGGUGUUAUAACUGUAUUUUCAUGACUUGAUCUUAUCAAACCUCAGCUGAUCCAUCUCUGGUUGGUUACGAGCUCAAGCCCAGUUCCUUGAACACUAGUAGAUUUAUACCUGGAGUCAGAUGGCAUCGGGUGGGUUUGGCCAUAGGCACAUCAGCAGGAGCAAGGAAUACGAUACCGAUUAGAAAGAUUUGACUUUUCAUGGUCCGAGAGGUAGUUAAGCAAUUCUGUAUUCUGCUGUGCUUCCAACUGGUGUGAAGUCUGGAGUGAGCAGGAAAACCAAUCAAGGAAGAAGGACAAGACACAAAUGAGGAAGAGCUCCAGGAGUCUGGUUUGGAGGCCACAAGGACAAACUGGAACACACAUGAAUCUCUGCCUGAUGCUUCCUACUUCAAACAUACAACUGACUUGCAGGAAACGCUGGCUUACUCUAUUACUUUUCUAACUAGACACCUGGCCCAGUUGGGAGCUGGGGAACCUAAAGGAAGAGACCUGGCGAGGCGCCAAAGAACUGUAUGUCUGGCUUCUGCCCUUUGUCAGCAGGGAACCAGACAUCAGCAGGUACCGUGUGAUCUACAGUGGCAGAGUCAUGUGCCAUGUACUUCCCUGUCUCAGUAGAUACAGUGCUGGCCAGCCCCCGGGUUCCAUGCCCACAAGGCACAAGCUGGGUGAGAUGUCAUACACUGUUAAUCAGGGCCCUUGGGAGGUGGAGGUAGGAGGAGAAUCAGGAGUUCAAGGUUAUCUAUGUUCUGCUAUUUAGAGAGCUGACCCAUGUUAAACCCUACACAUAAACAACCAACCAAACACAUGGCCAAUAUUUAACGUGAACCUUUCCAAACCCCAACCCGUAGAUUCUUCCUGGCCUAUGCUCUCAUGAAAUUAUGCAGAGAGGGGAUCCGGGACAUCAGACUUCUUCCUUGGCUAGAGCAACAGUCCUAACAGACCGUGCAAGCUCCUUUCCCCCUAGAGACAGUCUAUGUAAUCAUUUGACAAUGUUUGCUAAGCCUGAUAAGGUCCUUUCCCCAUCUUCUAGCCCUGCCCUGGGGAGAGCAGGCACAGGGGCACCAGGACUUUAUCCCUGGCACUGCACACAGAUUUAGAAACUGAUCUUGCAUGGAGGAAUGGAGAAGCGUGAGAAGUCAUCUUUGACCUGCAUGGGGGGGUCAGGGGGUGCUUCUUUCCCCCUGCUGGCUCCACAGAAGGCUUCUCAUAGGCUCCCCAGGGCCAACAGGCCUGGCUUCCUGCUUUUCUCUUAGCAGGGUGGCAGGGGCUGUCUCCUCACAACAGCCUUCCUGUGUUGACAUCACCAUUUGUUCCUCGUUUCCCCCUAGGGAAGAUGCUGCCUUGUCUGUUCCGGGCAAUAGAUUUGGGAAAAAACACAUUUUUGUCUUUUAAAGGAAUUUAUUAUUAUCCAAGCCUCCUUAUGGCCCCAAACACUGAUUUUAAGAGCAACAACAACAAAAGAUAGCGAAUUCCCCUUCAAUAACAACAGAAAGGGCUACUUGGGGGUGAUUCAAAGGCCAUGCAUUUUUGAAUUACUAUCACCACAAAAAUGUGGUGUGUGCAUGUGUGCGUGUGUCAUACGAAUAAUGAACAGACAAAAAAAACUGCAAUAUUUCUCCACCUCUUCAUUUCCUGGCAUAAAGUGUCUAGUUCAGAUUAUUUUCCUUAAAAAGAAAAAAAAGACUUCUUUUUAACUAUGCGUAUGUGUAUGGCUUUUGCAUAUGCGUACAGGUGCCAGUGAUGCCAAAAGAAGCUAUCCCAUUUCCUGAAGCUAGAGUUACAGGCAACUGUGAGUCUCCUGGUAUUAGUGGUAGGAACUGAACUCUGGUCCCUAACAAGAACAAAAGAAAUGAUCCCUGAACCUAUCUUCAGCCCUAGAUUGCUUUCUUGGUCUUAUUACACCAGAAAUUUCAGAAAGCCUUGUCCUUUGUAUAUGCAUUGCUUAAAAAGCAGUCUGGAAUUUCAUAGGUUUGCAUGAUAAAUUUUACUAUGCACCCAAUACAGCAUAACUCAAAAUGCAUCGUGCACCAGGGAGUGUGUGUGUAAAGGGUCCUGCAGACAGCUUCCCGAAACAGAAGUUUUGAAAACACAUCCAUGCAAUUCCAAGGCUUCCUGUCACCAUGUGUCAGAGGGGCACCCACUUUCUUUUCACUGACGACAGAAAGGGAGCUCCCUCUCAGCAAUAUCUCCUAUGACUGGACCCACCGGCCUCUUUGUUCUUUUCUGGAGGCUAACAGAGGGAGUACGGCUGUUUGAGAUCCCAUACUGAUCAUAAUACCAUGUUGUUUCCCUCCAAAAUCUACACCAUAAAGUGAGAUUUUUAGUGUUAGUGUAAGGUUAUAUGUCUGUGAGGUUUCCAGUGUUGGUGUAAGGUUAUAUGUCUACACUUGAGGGUGUUUUGUGUCUAGUGUCUUACUACCCAUAAACACAUUUCAUUAGGACUAGAGAGAUGACUCAGAUCCGUUUGGUUUCUAGCACUCAUGUUUGGCAGUCACUCCUCCCUUGCAACUACAGCUCCAGGUACUCUGUGUCCUUUCCUAACUUCUGCAGGUGUGUAUGUGUGUGUGUGUGUGUGUGCAUGCAUGUAUAUGUUUAUAUAUAAAAAUAAAUAAAACAAAAUCAAUUUUGACCAAAAGUGGAGAUACUGCUUUAAAAUAUCUUCUGGUUUCAACAUAAAUAAGCAUUUCCAGAACUAUGUAUCAUGUCAAAAGCACUUGUGUCUGACUUGGAAUCAGAAAUGAAUCAUUAGACAUUUCCCUGAAUUAACUGGCAAGAAAGUCCCGGAAUGAAACUCCGCGAGAAGAAGAUGAAGACUUACGAGUAGGCAUAAGCGUGGUGUAGCCAAGCAACUCAGAGGGAAAGGGGACUAAUUCCUCCAUUUGUGUAAUUGGAGGAAACCAGCUCAAGUGGCCGGGAUCUGAAGGAUUAGGGAAAGGUGAUAAGGAGUGUAGAUGAAGGAACUCCAUUGGUGUCAGCCACACCAAGACCUUUUGCUUUCCUUUGUACAGUUUUAUGUCUUCACCAUCUUGUCCUUUUUUAGAGCAUGUUGGACUAGUAAAUAGCACUCUCUCUUCCACCAAGUUGUGGAGCAGAAUGGACAACAAUAGUGGUGGCCUCGAACCCCCACACAAAGAUAAUGGAGAGUGAGCACCGACUCUGUCAUGUGCUUGCUCCGAUUUUUCCCAUUUAACCUUCAUGAGCCAUCUGCAAGAAAAUAACACAAUUAAGUCCAGUUGAGACUUAAGGGACCAGUGACAUGGGGAAGUUGUAGUUAGUCAGUGAUGGGGAAAGGUUUUAUAUAUUUGAAUAUGGAGGCCGAACUCAGCAUAUGUGACGACAGAGAGUUUCUUCUCAAUCAUUUAAGCCUGUGAUUCUAUAUGAAUGACAAUUUCUUCUUUGUUCUUUUCUGAACGCUAGUGCAGACUGAUCAGAAGUGAGCUCUGGCUGCACUGAGUGCUCUCUUGUCACGUAGCACACUCCUGGGCUUCAUCAUGCCUAGAACUCUCUCGCUCAACUUGCUGUUGUGCCUAGAACAUAGAGUUCCUGCUCAGACUUUUUCUGUAAAGCCGACUGCUCUUUCCUCCCACUUCAUAGCAGCAGUCACUUGAGACGAAUAAGCUAGUUUCAUGUCAAGUUCCAGUCAUGGAGGAAGCGUAAGAAUGUGAGGAAAAUAAUUUUGUUCAGGGUGUUUCAUAGCAUGAAACAGAGGUCAGAGUAGGAAAAGAAUGCUCAAGAUGGCUCCAGUACUUUCCAUUUAGAAGCAUUUCUUUUUCAGUUAGAGGGACCCACAUGCAUAUAAUUUCCCAGCAUGCAAUUCCUAUGAUGCAAAUACAGUGUCCCUGAUUGGUCAGUGCUCAGUCCUAGGUAUUGUGCCUGUAGUUCUGUGGAAUCUAGACAAUGCUGGUUAGCCACAGCUCUCCCAUGGUGGCCCCAUUUGCAGUUCCUGCAUGAGGAAGUAGUGUCCUCUGUGAGGAAGUAGUUUCCUGUCUGAGGAAACUUGUCCGCACCAGGAUGAAGUUGGUGAAAGAUUCAUUCUCUUUCUUGUCUCUCAGCUAUGGCCUUCCCACGACAGCUUUAUUUUCCAAUAGAAUAAAAAGCAUACGGCCUCAGUCGGCCACAGCUGUAAUGAACACUUUUAUGUUGUGCAUGUCUGAGGCCUCAACCUAUAGAACAAUCUUAAGAUGUUCUUUUGAAAUAGUAUAACCAGCCUUUCUGGUUUCACUGCCCACAAGACUAAUCCUUUCAGACAGCAGGUCACCAACAUCUUAAAUAUUAAUUUCCUACGACACAACAUUCCAUUUGCUGCGGGUUCUAGACCCCAUGUGUGUUAUGAAAAAUUGCGAAAUGAGUAUUUGGUCAUUCACAUUCAAAGCCUGGCAGUGCUAUUUAGCAGUGGAUAAAAUCGCAAAGUGUGAUGCAAAUGUGGUUUGGUCUCAUUCCAAACACAUCAGUCUUCUACUGUGGAGGGCUAUAGAGACAUACUUUGGAAGAGCAGAGCACCACGCUUUACAAAACUUCUACAGAGGAAAUAGGUUCUCUCUCGGUUGACGAAAAUCUUUAUUAAUGAUCUUAAAAUGACCCAACUCCACCCGAACUUAAUGGAUCCAGGCCCCAGUCCCUAUCCUUACCAUAUAGCACAGGCCACUGUGUCAUAUGCAUCUGAUGACAUGUUUCACUUCCUCUGGCUUAACCUGCCUCU